AUGAUGCCAUGAUCAUGAAUGCACUAGAGCAAUCUGCAGGGAAUGUUUUAUGGUAAUACUUGCAUCUGUGAAGCAUUUGUCCUCCAAAAAGAAAGCAUGUACUUUAAAGGUUAAAUUCUCGUGCCCUGUCCAAUGUACAGAAUAUCCUCAAAAACCUACGGGUAAUAACCUUUAUAUCUUCUGCUGUGAGCAUAAUGGAGGUUGACAUUGUGAAGUUUAUGGAAAUACGUGAAAGGUGAAAAGUAAUUUACUCUAAAAUAAGGCAUUCAGGAAGCAAUUACCUUUUCAAAUACUGUUAAUAGGAAGCAAGUUGAAAAUGAUAGGGUCUAGCAGCUCUGUAGCCCAGGCUGGAGUGCAGUGGUGCAAAGGAAUAUAUUGGAAAGAAAUUUGGCACAAUCUCAUAAGAUUAAUCAUGCAUGUACCAAAUGACCCAGCAAUUCUAUUUCAAUAUGUACCAACUCCUUGCCCCUAAACAACUCUAAUACCUGGCCAUCAGGAGAAAAAAAAUCGAUAAUGUCACUACCAAGAAUAAAAAAUUGAGAGCUAAAUGAUGAGAACUCAUGAACACAAAAAAGGGAACAACAG